AGUUCGUGUUGUGGACAUCUUCUAAGAAAUUCUUUGAAUCUUUCCCAUAUUUUAUAUAAUAAUUCAUUAUCCAUCUGCAUAAAAUUAGUACUAUCGUUAUGCAUUU
rnacentral:snoRNA from 1 species